GACGAACGCUGGCGGCGUGCUUAACACAUGCAAGUCGAACGGAAAGGCCCUGCUUUUGUUGGGUGCUCGAGUGGCGAACGGGUGAGUAACAAGUGAGUAACCUGCCCUUGACUUUGGGAUAACUUCAGGAAACUGGGGCUAAUACCGGAUAGGCGCUCCUGCUGCAUGGUGGGGGUUGGAAAGUUUCGGCGGUUGGGGAUGGACUCGCGGCUUAUCAGCUUGUUGGUGGGGUAGUGGCUUACCAAGGCUUUGACGGGUAGCCGGCCUGAGCGGGUGACCGGCCACAUGGGGACUGGGAUACGGCCCAGACUCCUACGGGAGGCAGCGGUGGGGAAUAUUGCACAAUGGGCGGAAGCCUGAUGCAGCAACGCCGCGUGCGGGAUGACGGCCUUCGGGUUGUAAACCGCUUUCGCCUGUGACGAAGCGUGAGUGACGGUAAUGGGUAAAGAAGCACCGGCUAACUACGUG
rnacentral:rRNA from 1 species